UUCGAAGGUGGCCGGGUCGAGCAGUUAUCGGGUUUGUGGUUCCCUUUGAAAAACGGGUUGGGCUUAUAGCUCAACAGGAAGCCCAACCCGUUUUCCCUCUUUUCCCGUUUACCGAGUCACGCCCAGCUCCCGCUGGCCGAGUUACCGGAGUUCAGUCCACUUCCUUCAGCUCAAGCACCGCCGUCGGUGGCAACCAAGCCGGAGGACGAGCAGCUCGCAAGUCCACGACGAAGACGACGAAGGUGAGGUCUUCCUCGACGAGUCCAACAUCAUCCAUGAAGUCACCGUUGAUGGCGAAGGUUCGACCCCAUCUCUCUCGUUUCUUCUGAUGACCACCUCGCUAGCACAAUACAAGCUAUUCACGCGCAGCUCGUUUGGCGUAGCUUCUUGUGUAGGAGUGUCGAGGAUGUUCGUUUUUUUCGUUUAGUUGAUACCAUCCUGCCAAUUCAGCGACCUUUGUGCAAGUAAGGAAGCUGACGGUUCUUUGCACACAUUCACUGGUCAUAAUGGUGAACUAUAUACAGUUGCUUGCAGUCCCAUGGAUGCAACACUGGUGGGGGUGGUGAAAAAGCAUUUCUUUGGAGGAUAGGUCAUGUGGAUUGGGCAUCAGAGCUUCAAGGCAUGUAAAUGAAGCCACGUCCUAUUGCUCUACGUUAGAGCAGGCGCUAAUUUGUUUAUGUAACCCUCAUUCUGUAUAAGGCUUUAUGGCUCUAAUCCUUUAGAGCUCCUGCAGGUCAUAAGGGUUCUGUCUCUAGCUUAGUGUUGUGUAUGCAUGGGCAGUUUCUUGCAUCUGAAAGCCUGGAUGGACUCAUUCAGAUAUGGGAUGUCUCAUCUGGAAAUCAUAAAGGAACUCUUGAAGGACCUGGAGGGGGCAUAGAGGUGAAAAUGUGGCAUUCAAAGGGACACUUAAUAGUGGCAGUUUCUGAGGAUUUGACAGCUUGGAUGUGGAAUGCUGACAAGAUUUUAUACUUGAAUAUGUUCUCCGAACAUGGCAGCAAUGUAACUUGUGGAAAUUUCACUCGUGAUGGUA